rnacentral:misc_RNA from 1 species
GAUGAAGAACGUAGCGAAAUGCGAUAAGUAAUGCGAAUUGCAGAAUUUCUAGUGAGUCAUCGAAUCUUUGAACGCACAUUGCGCCCUUUGGUAUUCCGAAGGGCAUGCCUGUUCGAGCGUCAUUAUCAACCCUCAAGCCUGGCUUGUUGUUGGACCUCAGGUCGCCGCUCCGGUGGACCGGUCUCAAAGACAAUGACGGCGUCCGUGGGACCCUCGGUGCAAUGAGCUUCUUCCAAAGCACGCAUCAGAGUGGGCUCGCGGGGGCCGUCUCCCCGUCAUAUUUUAUCAAGGUUGACCUCGGAUCAGGUAGGAAUACCCGCUGAACUUAAGCAUAUCAAUAAGCGGGGA